rnacentral:rRNA from 1 species
AUGGCAAGAGAUAUUGUGAAUCCGGAGUGGGAUUGCCAUUAUGUAAUCAAUGUCUCAGAUCACUGCUGUCCAGUGGCCUCACUUAGCAUCACUGGUGGGUUUCUCUUACGAAGAGGUCAUUGUCUUAUCCGUUAUUACAUGAAAGCUCAUGGUGUAAAAGAAGAGGAUACGUUUGAUAUGGAUGACCUAAGGUUCCUUGGGCCCAGUGAAGAUACCUUGGGCCAUGCACGGGAAAAUUUAUGUGUGUUUGAACUACUUUAUUACACUGCAAGCCUUGUUCCUAUUACUCCUAAGGCGAGCUUACAAGCCUUAUAA